AGGAUUGUAGUUAAAUAUAACAUUUGAUUUGCAUUCAAAAAAUAUUAAAAAAAUUUUAGUCUAUCUUA
rnacentral:tRNA from 1 species